AUACAGAGGGUGCGAGCGUUAAUCGGAAUUACUGGGCGUAAAGCGCGCGUAGGUGGUUAUGUAAGUCGGAUGUGAAAGCCCCGGGCUUAACCUGGGAAUUGCAUUCGAAACUGCAUGGCUAGAGUCUGAUAGAGGGAAGUGGAAUUUCCGGUGUAGCGGUGAAAUGCGUAGAUAUCGGAAGGAACACCAGUGGCGAAGGCGGCUUCCUGGAUCAAGACUGACGCUGAGGUGCGAAAGCGUGGGGAGCAAACAGGAUUAGAAACCCCAGUAGUCC
rnacentral:rRNA from 1 species